rnacentral:rRNA from 1 species
GAUGAACGCUGGCGGCGUGCCUAAUACAUGCAAGUCGAACGGAAAGGCCCUGCUCUUGUGGGGUGCACGAGUGGCGAACGGGUGAGUAACACGUGAGUAACCUGCCCUUGACUUUGGGAUAACUUUAGGAAACUGGGGCUAUUAUCCGAUAUGAGCUCUUGCUGCACGGUGGGGGUUGGUAAGAUUCGGCGGUUGGGGAUGGAUUCGCGGCUUACCAGCUUGUUGGUGGGGUAGUGGCUUACCAAGGCUACGACGGGUAGCCGGCCUGGGAGGGUGACCGGCCACAUUGGGACUGAGAUACGGCCCAGACUCCUACGGGAGGCAACAGUGGGGAGUAUUGCACAGUGGGCGGGAGCCUGAUGCAGCAACGCCGCGUGCGGGAUGACGGCCUUCGGGUUGUAAACCGCUUUCGCCUGUGACGAAGCGUGAGUGACGGUAAUGGGUAAAGAAGCACCGGCUAACUACGUG